GCAGCCGUGGCGGAAUUGGCAUACGCGCACGUUUGAGGUGCGUGUCCGAGAGGGUACGAGUUCAAAUCUCGUCGGCUGCAC
rnacentral:tRNA from 1 species